rnacentral:rRNA from 1 species
UUAAAAAGCUCGUAGUUGAAUUUCGGGACCAUCAUGUCGGUCGUGCCUCGGUACGUACUGGCAUCGUUGGUUUCUCCCUUCUGACGAACCACGAUGUCAUUUAUUUGGUGUUGUGGGGAAUCAGGACUGUUACUUUGAAAAAAUUAGAGUGUUUAAAGCAGGCUCACGCUUGAAUACAUUAGCAUGGAAUAAUGAAAUAGGACGUUUGAUUCUAUUUUGUUGGUUUCUAGGAUCGACGUAAUGAUUAAUAGGGAUAGUUGGGGG